CCUACGGGAGGCAGCAGUGGGGAAUUUUGGACAAUGGGCGCAAGCCUGAUCCAGCAAUGCCGCGUGAGUGAAGAAGGCCUUCGGGUUGUAAAGCUCUUUUGUCAGGGAAGAAACGGUGGGAGCUAAUAUCUCCUACUAAUGACGGUACCUGAAGAAUAAGCACCGGCUAACUACGUGCCAGCAGCCGCGGUAAUACGUAGGGUGCAAGCGUUAAUCGGAAUUACUGGGCGUAAAGCGUGCGCAGGCGGUUUUGUAAGUCUGUCGUGAAAGCCCCGGGCUCAACCUGGGAAUUGCGAUGGAGACUGCAAGGCUUGAAUCUGGCAGAGGGGGGUAGAAUUCCACGUGUAGCAGUGAAAUGCGUAGAGAUGUGGAGGAACACCGAUGGCGAAGGCAGCCCCCUGGGUCAAGAUUGACGCUCAUGCACGAAAGCGUGGGGAGCAAACAGGAUUAGAUACCCUGGUAGUCCACGCCCUAAACGAUGUCUACUAGUUGUCGGGUUUUAAUUAACUUGGUAACGCAGCUAACGCGUGAAGUAGACCGCCUGGGGAGUACGGUCGCAAGNUUAAAACUCAAAGGAAUUGACGG
rnacentral:rRNA from 1 species